rnacentral:rRNA from 1 species
AACGAACGCUGGCGGCAUGCCUAACACAUGCAAGUCGAACGACACCUUCGGGUCUAGUGGCGCACGGGUGCGUAACGCGUGGGAACCUGCCCUUAGGUUCGGAAUAACUCCCCGAAAGGGGUGCUAAUACCGGCUAAUGUCUUCGGACCAAAGAUUUAUCGCCUUUGGAUGUGCCCGCGUUGGAUUAGCUAGUUGGUAGGGUAAAAGCCUACCAAGGCGACGAUCCAUAGCUGGUCUGAGAGGAUGGUCAGCCACACUGGGACUGAGACACGGCCCAGACUCCUACGGAAAGCAGCAGUGGGGAAUAGUGGACCGUGGGCGGAGUCAUGAACCAGCUAUGACGGGUGAGUGAUGAAGGCCGUAGGGUUGUAAAGCUCUUUUACCCGGGAUGAUAAUGACAGUACCGGGAGAAUAAGCUCCGGCUAACUCCGUG